CCCUUAGAUGUUCUGGGCCGCACGCGCGCUACACUGAUGCAUUCAACGAGUCUAAAACCUGCUCUGAUAGGGGUGGGUAAUCUUUUGAAUGUGCAUCGUGAUUGGGAUAGAUGAUUGCAAUUUUUCAUCUUCAACGAGGAAUGCCUAGUAAACGCAAGUCAUCAGCUUGCAUUGAUUACGUCCCUGCCCUUUGUACACACCGCCCGUCGCUCCUACCGAUUGAAUGACUCGGUGAAAAAUUGGGACUGUGAUUGAAAUUGCUUCAUUGCGAAUUUAAUUAUGGAAACUUUCUUUAACCUAGGCAUUUAGAGGAAGGUGAAGUCGUAACA
rnacentral:rRNA from 1 species